rnacentral:misc_RNA from 1 species
GAUGAAGAACGUAGCGAAAUGCGAUAAGUAAUGUGAAUUGCAGAGUUCAGUGAAUCAUCGAAUCUUUGAACGCACAUUGCGCCCGUCAGUAUUCUGACGGGCAUGCCUGUCCGAGCGUCAUUUCAACCCUCAAGCACUGCUUGGCGUUGGCGUAUUGCGUGCCCUCGCGGCGCUGCAACCGCCCAAAUACAGUGGCGGUCCCGCUGCGGCUCCCUUUGCGUAGUAACUCACCUCGCACUGGACCGGGCGGCGGCCUGCCGUAAAACCCCAACUCACGAAAUGUUGACCUCGGAUCAGGUAGGAAUACCCGCUGAACUUAAGCAUAUCAAUAAGCGGAGGA